rnacentral:lncRNA from 1 species
AAGCGAAGCCCGGCAACAAAGAAAUCCUUAAAAACCACCGCCUCGCCUUGCCUGGGCUUCGGAAUCACCUCAUCAUCGGGGGCCCUUCCGACACCACUGGGGAAGUACUCAUUCUCUUCAAAAACUUUGAUCAACUCCUUCGUAACAAGAGAGCGCCCAAAUUGCAUUUUCGGAAUGCACUCCUUGCCAGGCAAAAGCUCAGACACAUUCGCCUCAACAUCCCCAAUGUCCUCC